GGUGGGGUCGCAUAGUGGUCUAGUGCCGCGGUUUGCUAAACCGUUAAACGGGUAAAACCGUUUCGAGGGUUCGAAUCCCUCCCCCACCG
rnacentral:tRNA from 1 species